GUGGGGAAUAUUGGGCAAUGGGCGCAAGCCUGACCCAGCAACGCCGCGUGAAGGAAGAAGGCUUUCGGGUUGUAAACUUCUUUUACCAGGGACGAAAUAAAUGACGGUACCCUGAAAACAAGCCACGGCUAACUACGUGCCAGCAGCCGCGGUAAUACGUAGGUGGCAAGCGUUGUCCGGAUUUACUGGGGGUAAAGGGCGUGUAGGCGGGACAGUAAGUCAGAUGUGAAAUGCUGAGGCUUAACCUCAGAGCUGCAUUUGAAACUAUUGUUCUUGAGUGAUGGAUAGGCAGGCGGAAUUCCGUGUGUAGCGGUGAAAUGCGUAGAUAUACGGAGGAACACCAGUGGCGAAGGCGGCCUGCUGGACAUUAACUGACGCUGAGGCGCGAAAGCGUGGGGAGCAAACAGGAUUAGAUACCCUAGUAGUCC
rnacentral:rRNA from 1 species